rnacentral:tRNA from 1 species
GCGCCAUGGCUUAGUGGUAAAGCGCCUGUCUUGUAAACAGGAGAUCCGGGGCUACGGAUCCCCAGUGGGUGCC